AACGAACGCUGGCGGCAUGCCUAAUACAUGCAAGUCGAACGAGCCCUCCGGGUCUUGUGGUGCAUGGGUGCGUCACGCGUGGGAACAUGCACUUAGGUUCGGACUACCUCCCCGAAAGGGGUGAUAACACCGGACAAUGUCUUCGGACCAAUGAUUUAUCGCACUUGUAUGGGCCAGCGUUGGAUUAGCUGGUUAGUAUGGUAAUAGCCUACUACGGCGACGAUCAAUAGCUGGUUAGAGAGGAUGAUCAGCCACACUGAGACGAAGACGCGGCCGAGACUCCUACGGGAUGCGGCAGUGGGUAAUGGUGGACAGUGGGCGAAAGCCUGAUCCAGCAAGGCCGCGUGAGUGAUGAAGGCCGUAGAGUUGUAAAGCGCUUGUACCCGUGAUGAUAAUGACAGUACCGAGAGAAUAAGCUCCGGCUAACUCCGUG
rnacentral:rRNA from 1 species